GAUGAAGAACGCAGCGAAAUGCGAUAAGUAAUGUGAAUUGCAGAAUUCAGUGAAUCAUCGAAUCUUUGAACGCACAUUGCGCCCGCCAGUAUUCUGGCGGGCAUGCCUGUCUGAGCGUCAUUUCAACCCUCAUGCCCCUAGGGCGUGGUGUUGGGGAUCGGCCAAAGCCCGCGAGGGACGGCCGGCCCCUACAUCUAGUGGCGGACCCGUCGUGGCCUCCUCUGCGAAGUAGUGAUAUUCCGCAUCGGAGAGCGAUGAGCCCCUGCCGUUAAACCCCCAACUUUCCAAGGUUGACCUCAGAUCAGGUAGGAAUACCCGCUGAACUUAAGCAUAUCAAUAAGCGGAGGA
rnacentral:misc_RNA from 1 species